rnacentral:rRNA from 1 species
CACGCCCUAAACGAUGCUAACUCGUUGUUUGUCCGUUAGGAUGAGUGACCAAGGGAAACCGAUAAGUUAGCCACCUGGGGAGUACGCCCGCAAGGGUGAAACUCAAAGGAAUUGACGGGGGUCCGCACAAGCGGUGGAGUAUGUGGUUUAAUUCGAUGAUACGCGAGGAACCUUACCAGGGCUAGAAUGUGAGUGCCGACUCCUGAAAGGGAGUUUUCCGCAAGGACACAAAACAAGGUGC